UUUGGUUUUUAUAAAAAGUAGCUUCACUGGUUCUUACUUCAAACAGUUGUGAAUAAAACUUGAAACCGUGAAGUGCCAGAAGAAAACGAAAAAACGAACGAGCGAUCAAUCGCGACAGUCAGUUAAAGCGCGGCGCAGUGGAAAAAAAUUCAUUGAGAUUUAAAUGGUGUGACUAAAUACAAAAAAAAAAAAAAAACAAAUAAAUAUUGCACACAGAGAAAAUAGCAGUGAAGAGUAUUUACAUUCAGUGCCAUCCACAAACAAAGCAGAUAGAAUAAAGAAAAAAAAAGAAGAACGAAAUUUUCAUCUCAAAAAAACAACAACCAAAUCACAAAACAAUAAUAACAGCAGGAUACACAAACAAUUGUGAUAGUUAAACAACAACAAAAACUCACAGGGUCGGAACAAAAUUUUAAAAAACACCAAUAACUAUACUGAAAUAACAAAAAAUAUGUCUCAAAUAAGCCAUAAACAUUGUGGCUGCAGUUCCUACUCUUCUUCGUGGAGUAGUACGUGUAACUUUGCAAGAACUUUGUUGCGUUUCUUUGCGGUGGAACGACAGCAUAUAGUAUGGCUUGUUGUAUGCGCCAGUCUGCUGCAACAAGUUCUAGCUGCUCAGGCCUUUGGGAUAAACGAUGAACGUUUCGUCUACAGUAAAUCUAAAGCGGAUGCAAAUAGUGCUGAUGCCACGGCUGCAGAUACAGAUACCAACGUUAAACUACUUGGGGAAAACGAAACAGAUCCGUUUCCAAUGGACUUUUAUCGGGAGUUGAAUAAUAUAACAGAUAUUUCUGAAUUCAUAGAGAAAUUUGUUGAUCCCGACAGUAUUGAUCCCAAACUGGGUAUACAUGCAGAGAACCUUCGCAGAAAUGUUGAAAGAGCCUCUGUGGUUAGAGCUAAAGCAGCCAGAUGCAGUCCCGAACCCACAGUGGUAGAUCUGAUACCUCUCAGUACAAUGUACAGCUACUUCCCCAAAUGUACACGUGUUAAACGUUGCAGCGGAUGCUGCAACACACCUCUGUUGUCCUGUCAACCUACUAAAACAGAAAUUGUCAACUACCAAGUCACUCGGUAUAGCCCCACUGCACAUGGAAUUAAAAGCAACGGUUUUGAUGUGAUUCCUGUGGAGCAACAUUUGGAAUGUAAAUGUGAUUGUCGCGUCAAGGCAAAGGACUGUAAUGCCUUUCAAAUUUAUGAAGACUGUCAGUGCCAUUGCCCAAAUACAGAUGCUCAAGAUAAGUGUCAUGAAUUGGAGCACAAAGAAUGGGAUGGUAAUUCGUGCCGUUGUGUCUGCCGGCACAGAGAAACAUGUACCACUGGCACCUACUAUGAUGAGAAUCAAUGCAAAUGUCUACUGACCCACUCUUUAGACUAUGUUGACGAUGAAAGUCAACUGAAUUAAUUACAAAACUACAACAAGACACAUGUCACAUGACACAAAAAAAAACGACACCAAAGUCAUUUCAAACACCCCACCGACCACCGCAUACAACUAGUUUUACACUUACACACACAAUUUGUAAUCUUCAUUGUAAGACUCAAUCAAUCAGUGUUGUGUUUUGUGUGUGUGUGUAUGUGUGUCUAUCGUCCUUGCCUUUUUUGAAUGAAAACAAAACAAAACAAAACAUUUUUAAGCCAUCAUCGUCGUUAAUGUAUAAAUCGCCACUGUCGUUGUCUCUAUCGUCGUUGUCAGCCAAAACUUUGUGAUUUGCAUUCAAAAUGCUUUAAAAUUACCAUUUUGAAAUUAAAAACCAAAUCGUAAGGAAUUCCAAUAACCACUUGUUUAAGAGACUAUGUGAUGAGUAUUAUUGUUUGUUUGUUGGGUUUAACAUGCGUAAUAAAUUUUCCAAAAAAAAAAUAUAA